UCAAAAUGAGGAGGUAUAAACAUUUCUUUUUUUUCCCCCUUUUUUCCCCCACCCCCACACUGUCGGCUUUCAAAGCCCAGUAUUCUGUUGCUUGUGAUAGAAGACUAACAAGACAUUUUGAUAGAAGACAUUUUGUUGUGUUUCUGCACAAACAAAAAUGAGUUAUAAAAAAGAAUCCCGGAAGAAUGAUUUCCAUUUCAAACACCUGAGAGAUCAUUUACGCUGAGGAGUCCUGUUGAUCACGUGGUGUCUGUUGGCCUCACUGAUUUUGAUGGCAUAGGUAUAAGAGUAAAUGAAGAGGCGGUCUACGUGGUGUGGUUUUAAGGGUGGAUGCCAGAAAUUCCACCAGGAAAGCUUUCUUUUUGUCUUUCACAUCUUUGCUCCUUUUAAACUUGCAAAUAACCCUCCACAGCACAGACAUUUGGUGGACACAUCAAUCAUUGGUCUAUUGGUGAUAGUGGAAGACCUGGGAGCUUCAGGCCUUGGACGGGAACUGGCAAGAGGAAUAGGGAGAAGACAGAUUCAGAGGAAAGCAUGUACCCGAGGAGCGUGGGGCAGACAGAAGAUUAUCCUGGAGAAACCAAGCAUCUCUGAACCUAGCCUACCUCCGGUUUGGGCUGUGCUCCCUCCUACAUACGGUCCUGUGAUUAACCAAGUCUAUCAUGUGAAAGGGGUAGAGCUUCUGUAGACACGGUGACCACAGGCUUUUAAUGAAAACCCCCUUGUGAUAAAACCACAGUCAUAUGCAACAAAUUAAAUCGUAACAAGGCAUUGGAAAAGAUGUUUUCAGCGAUGAAAACAUUACUAUUAGGAAGACCACGUAAUUUGUCAUUCAGAUGAAGACCCAAAAAGGCUACCAUUUAUAUCAAGAUGGCUAGACAUACAGAUGAACUGCGUUAUCCUAUGUAAGCAUCCAUUUUUAGCCAUGAAGAACCAUUAUUAUCUUUCUGGUAUAUUGGAUAAUUAAUUUUCUUCUUCAGUUGUCCUUGAGAGUUGAGUGAUUGAUUCCUAGCUACUACUGUUUACAAAUGGUAUUUGUUUUCUAGCUCCUGAUCUAGUCUGCCAUGAUGUAUUAGCUGCCUAGUUAACUCAAUAAACUCUUCACUGAUAGCGGACCUUGCUUGGGGUGACCAGUGGCAGGCCCAUGCACCUGCAAAAGUUAGGUGCUUCUCCAACAGGAAGGCAGUUCUUAUAUACACGAUAAGGAUUGCUCCUGGAAGACUUUGCCACAAGAAAGAUCUGAAAAGGAGGCUGAGUCCUUGCAGGAGGAAAGAAAAGCUUUUCAAGCAGUGAAGGAAAAUGCUGAGUAAGAGAGAAUGGAAAGAGGCUUCGUAAAACCUCUGUGACCAAAAGAGUGAUUGGCUUAUUUAUUUUACAAAGAUAUGCUAUAGUUUUAUUUCCACGCUUCCCCAAGUUGCAUUGGACCAAUUCCCAUGAUGCCAAGCUCUGACUACUCCUCUUCCUCUACUUAAAAAGUAAAGACCGUGUGACGUUGUCGUCCCCAGGGAGAGACCUUCAUGUCCCAAGGACAGGAUCCGUCACUGGGAAUAGAUUGUGAAUCACAUGAAGCAGUUGCUUGACCUGUUUUGAUUUUGUUUGCUCUGCUUAGGAAAUAGAGUAUCACUCAGGAAGUUCUAAGGUUUACCCUCCUGAGCUAAUAUAAGAAGAACAACAUCAACAACAGCAGUGCUGAGAAUGGUGCAUGGAUUUCAAUAUAAUGACCUGCAAACACUUUUCAUUCUAUGCUAUGCUUUUUGUCAAAAAAGCAGAGGGAGCAUUUUAAUGCGAUCACAUGCACAUACCAGGCCCUGAUUUCCCUAAAUUGCACUUACUAAAUGGAAUUUCUCUCCCAAAGCACAGCCCCAUUUCCCCCUAAGGGACAUGCUAUUUAAAUUCUCCAGUGAAACUUGAUUCUGUACAGUUCAAGGUUGAGCCAAAGCUGUAAUAAAUCCACCUUUAAACACUU